UAACACAUGCAAGUCGAGGGGCAGCAUGGUCUUAGCUUGCUAAGGCCGAUGGCGACCGGCGCACGGGUGAGUAACACGUAUCCAACCUGCCGUCUACUCUUGGACAGCCUUCUGAAAGGAAGAUUAAUACAAGAUGGCAUCAUGAGUCCGCAUGUUCACAUGAUUAAAGGUAUUCCGGUAGACGAUGGGGAUGCGUUCCAUUAGAUAGUAGGCGGGGUAACGGCCCACCUAGCCUUCGAUGGAUAGGGGUUCUGAGAGGAAGGUCCCCCACAUUGGAACUGAGACACGGUCCAAACUCCUACGGGAGGCAGCAGUGAGGAAUAUUGGUCAAUGGGCGAGAGCCUGAACCAGCCAAGUAGCGUGAAGGAUGACUGCCCUAUGGGUUGUAAACUUCUUUUAUAAAGGAAUAAAGUCGGGUAUGCAUACCCGUUUGCAUGUACUUUAUGAAUAAGGAUCGGCUAACUCCGUGCCAGCAGCCGCGGUAAUACGGGAGGAUCCGAGCGUUAUCCGGAUUUAUUGGGUUUAAAGGGAGCGUAGAUGGAUGUUUAAGUCAGUUGUGAAAGUUUGCGGCUCAACCGUAAAAUUGCAGUUGAUACUGGAUAUCUUGAGUGCAGUUGAGGCAGGCGGAAUUCGUGGUGUAGCGGUGAAAUGCUUAGAUAUCACGAAGACUCCGAUUGCGAAGGCAGCCUGCUAAGCUGCAACUGAC
rnacentral:rRNA from 1 species